UAUAUACUAUGCUGGCCUAGUAGAAAUAUCUAUAUGGUUAUUAGAAAAGAACACCUCAAAAGAACUUGCCACUUUUUCUCUGAAGAAGAAUCUCUAACCCCUCGAACUUCUGGAGAUAACUUACAUUGCCGCUUAGACUCUUCAGACUCCCCAGAUCCACUACUAGACCACUCAGACUACAUGAAAAUAAAAGAAACCAAGAAGGCAUAUAUGUACCUAAAAGUAAGUCAGACUUCGAUCCAAAAGAAAAAAAAAAGGAUGUGCUCGACUUUCGGACAACAACAAUAAGCUAUGAAGUAUGGAUACCUUAGUCCCUUAUCAUGUCCGGGUGUCCAACAUACACCUGCAUCCGAUAAUAACACCGAUAUGACGCUCAUAUGACAGAUGUUCAUGUUCUAAUAUUUUGGACAUUACAGUUGUCUCCGUAUUUAUAUUGUAUCUGAUAUUCC
rnacentral:lncRNA from 1 species